rnacentral:lncRNA from 1 species
UAUUUAGCAAAGUAAUGUUCUCUCCUCUCUUGUGAAAUUUCAUACAUAGCCCUUAAGGCAUGUGAGUGAUGUCAUAUUCACUUUAAGAUUCUCUCAGUCUAUGUCCACGUCCUGCCAUGAGAAAGUUACAGAAUUAGCUUAGCAGAGACUUAAAUGAAAACCCACUUUAAUGGGUACUGUACCAUCACAACACCAUUAGUGCUCCAUGUACCCAUGACAUAGAAAGCCAGAUGCAGUAUUUAUAAAUUCUUGUACUUUGAAUCAGAAGUUAGGAGACACAAAUUGAAGUAUGGUAGUUGAGUAUGAGGCUUCCAAAGUCUUUUUCAACUUCCAAAUAGAUUUCAGCAAUGUCUAGACAAUGUCCAAUAAAUGUUCAU